rnacentral:rRNA from 1 species
CCCUUAGAUGUUCUGGGCCGCACGCGCGCUACACUGACGAAGUCAGCGAGCAUCUCCUACGCCGAAAGGUGCGGGGAAUCUUGUGAAACUUUGUCGUGCUGGGGAUUGAUUUUUGAAAUUCUUGAUCAUAAACGAGGAAUUCCUAGUAAGCGCAAGUCAGCAGCUUGCGUUGAUUACGUCCCUGCCCUUUGUACACACCGCCCGUCGCUACUACCGAUUGAAUGGUUUAGUGAGAUGUUUGGACCGGAACUCUCUUGCUCAGCAAUGGGCGAGAGAGAGUCCGGGAAGUCCCUCUAACUGUAUCAUUUAGAGGAAGUAAAAGUCGUAACA